CCUACGGGAGGCAGCAGUGAGGAAUAUUGGUCAAUGGGCGCGAGCCUGAACCAGCCAAGCCGCGUGAAGGAUGACUGCCCUACGGGUUGUAAACUUCUUUUAUAAAGGAAUAAAGUGAGGCACGUGUGCCCUUCUGUAAGUACUUUACGAAUAAGGAUCGGCUAACUCCGUGCCAGCAGCCGCGGUAAUACGGAGGAUCCGAGCGUUAUCCGGAUUUAUUGGGUUUAAAGGGAGCGUAGAUGGGUUGGUAAGUUAGUUGUGAAAGUUUGGGGCUCAACUGUAAAAUUGCAAUUGAUACUGGCGGUCUAGAGUACAGAUGAGGUAGGCGGAAUUCGUGGUGUAGCGGUGAAAUGCUUAGAUAUCACGAAGAACUCCGAUUGCGAAGGCAGCUUACUAAACUGCCACUGACGUUGAGGCACGAAAGUGUGGGGAGCAAACAGGAUUAGAUACCCGAGUAGUC
rnacentral:rRNA from 1 species